rnacentral:rRNA from 1 species
UACGGAGGAUGCAAGCGUUAUCCGGAAUGAUUGGGCGUAAAGCGUCCGCAGGUGGCAAUGUAAGUCUGCUGUUAAAGAGUCUAGCUCAACUAGAUAAAAGCAGUGGAAACUACAUAGCUAGAGUACGUUCGGGGCAGAGGGAAUUCCAGGUGUAGCGGUGAAAUGCGUAGAUAUCUGGAGGAACACCGGUGGCGAAGGCGGCAUCCUGGACCGGCAUUGACGCUGAGGCGCGAAAGCUAGGGGAGCAAACGGG